CCGACUGCUAUUUGGGUGAGGAUAAGCCAUGCGAGUUGAAUGGGAAACCUAAAGUUCCCAUGGCAAACUGCUCAGUAACACAUGAUCAACUUACCCUAUAGAGAAAAAUAACCUCGGGAAACUGAGGAUAAUGUUUCAUAGUUGAAUUGGCUUGGAAAAGUUUUUCGACGAAAGGGGUAAAAAAAAUGGUUUUUAUCUGCUAUAGGAUAGGAUCGUGUUCGAUUAUGGUUGUUGGUGAGGUAAUGGCUCACCAAGCCGAUAAUCGAUAGGGGCCGUGAGAGCGGGAGCCCCGAGAUGGGUACUGAGACAACGACCCAGGCCUUACGAGGCGCAGCAGGCGCGAAACCUCCGCAAUACACGAAAGUGUGACGGGGUUACCCAAAGUGUUCAAUUUUGAACUGUGGUAGGUGAGUAAUGUUCCCUACUAGAAAGGAGAGGGCAAGGCUGGUGCCAGCCGCCGCGGUAGAACCAGCUCUUCAAGUGGUCGGGAUAAUUAUUGGGCUUAAAGUGUCCGUAGCCGGUUUAGCAAGUUCCUGGUAAAAUCGGGUAGCUUAACUAUCUAUAUGCUGGGAAUACUACUAUACUAGAGGGCGGGAGAGGUCUGAGGUACUGCAGGGGUAGGGGUGAAAUCUUAUAAUCCUUGUUGGACCACCAGUGGCGAAGGCGUCAGACUGGAACGCGCCUGACGGUGAGGGACGAAAGCCAGGGGAGCGAACCGGAUUAGAUACCCGGGUAGUCCUGGCCGUAAACGAUGCAUACUAGGUGAUGGCACGGCCAUGAGCCGUGUCAGUGCCGUAGGGAAACCGUUAAGUGUGCCGCCUGGGAAGUACGGUCGCAAGGCUAAGACUUAAAGGAAUUGGCGGGGGAGCACCACAAGGGGUGAAGCCUGCGGUUCAUU
rnacentral:rRNA from 1 species